AGGGGCGAUAGCACGUUGAGUAGACCAGUUCUCAAAGGAUCACUGAAGUUAAGCAACGUUGCGUUUUGUUAGUAUCAGGAUGGGCGACCAUCUGGGCAAUCGCCAAUCGCGUACUUC
rnacentral:rRNA from 1 species